UCUCCGUAGGUGAACCUGCGGAGGGAUCAUUACUGAGUGAGGGCUCACGCCCGACCUCCAACCCUUUGUGAACACAUCUUGUUGCUUCGGGGGCGACCCUGCCGUCCGCGGCUGAGCGCCCCCGGAGCCCAUCAAACCCUGCGUAACUAAGUCGUCGGAGUUUAAGUAAAUUAAACAAAACUUUCAACAACGGAUCUCUUGGUUCUGGCAUCGAUGAAGAACGCAGC
rnacentral:misc_RNA from 1 species